rnacentral:rRNA from 1 species
UACGUAGGGGGCAAGCGUUUGUCCGGAAUCAUUGGGCGUAAAGAGCGUGUAGGCGGCCCGGUAAGUCCGCUGUGAAAGUCGGGGGCUCAACCCUCGAAAGCCGGUGGAUACUGUCGGGCUAGAGUGCGGGAGAGGCGAGUGGAAUUCCUGGUGUAGCGGUGAAAUGCGUAGAUAUCGGGAGGAACACCUGUGGCGAAAGCGGCUCACUGGACCAUAACUGACGCUGAUGCACGAAAGCUGGGGGAGCAAACAGG